AGCCAGACUCCUACGGGAGGCAGCAGUGGGGGAUAUUGCACAAUGGGGGGAACCCUGAUGCAGCGACGCCGCGUGGGUGAAGAAGCGCCUCGGCGCGUAAAGCCCUGUCAGCAGGGAAGAAAAUGACGGUACCUGAAGAAGAAGCCCCGGCUAACUACGUGCCAGCAGCCGCGGUAAUACGUAGGGGGCAAGCGUUAUCCGGAUUUACUGGGUGUAAAGGGGGCGCAGACGGCGAUGCAAGCCAGGAGUGAAAGCCCGGGGCCCAACCCCGGGACUGCUCUUGGAACUGCGUGGCUUGAGUGCAGGAGGGGCAUAUGGAAUUCCUAGUGUAGCGGUGGAAUGCGUAGAUAUUAGGAGGAACACCAGUGGCGAAGGCGAUAUGCUGGACUGUAACUGACACUGAGGCACGAAAGCGUGGGGAGCAAACAGGAUUAGAUACCCUGGUAC
rnacentral:rRNA from 1 species